UUACUGAAAUAGAAGACCCACUCUGCUGGGCUUCACUUUUCAAAUUCAAACACCAUGUGCACUGUCUGGGUGAACACCUUGCCUUGUGCAAGGCUACUAGCCCUCUAUUUUUUUUUCAAAACACAGGUCAAUGCAUGUGCUAUACAUAUAAAGAAAUAAAACUUUCAACAACGGAUCUCUUGGCUCCCGCAUCGAUGAAGAACGCRGCGAAAUGCGAUAAGUAAUGUGANUUGCAGAACUCAGUGWAUCAUCGAAUCNUUGAACGCACCUUGCACUCCAUGGUAUUCCGUGGAGUAUGUCUGUCUGAGUGUCAUGAAACUCUCAACCCUCUCACUUUUGCUUGUCAAUGUGCUUGGGCUUGGAUCAUGAGUGCCUGCUGGACCUGCGCAUCAGCUCACUCUAAAUGUAUUAGCGGUUUGCUUGUCGUAUCCCUGCAGCUAGAACCGGCGUAAUAGGAUUUAUUCGCUGGGGUGUUGCGGUCGUGAUGGUUGCAUGGCUUACUGCUCUUGCCAUAUAUUCUAAGUGUUUGGCCUCAGAUCAGGCAGGACUACCCGCUGAACUUAAGCAUAUCAAUAAGCGGAGGAAAAGAAACUAACAAGGAUUCCCCUAGUAACGGCGAGUGAAGCGGGAAGAGCUCAAAUUUGUAAUCUGGCUGUUUUGCAGUCCGAGUUGUAAGCUAGAGAAGUGUUAUCCGUGCUGGACCACAUAUGAGUCUGUUGGAAUAUAGUGUCAAUGAGGGUGAGAACCCCGUUCAUGAUGUGGACUACCAGUGCUUUGUGUUACACUCUCAAAGAGUCGAGUUGUUUGGGAAUGCAGCUCAAAUUGGGUGGUAAAUUCCAUCUAAAGCUAAAUAUUGGCGGGAGACCGAUAGCGAACAAGUACCGUGAGGGAAAGAUGAAAAGCACUUUGGAAAGAGAGUCAAAUAGUACGUGAAAUUGUUGAAAGGGAAACGCUUGAAGUCAGACAUGCUUGCGGGGUUCAGUCUUCGGAUGUACUCCUCCGCUUUGCAGGCUAGCAUCAGUUUUGUGGGCUGGAUAAGGGCAUGAGGAAGGUGGCAUCUUCGGGUGUGUUAUAGCCUCUUGCUUGAUGCAGCCUAUGGGACUGAGGAUCGCAGCGCGCCGUAUGGCAAUGGGCUUCGGCCUUUACGCGCUUAGGAUGCUGGUAUAAUGGCCUUUAAACGACCC
rnacentral:rRNA from 1 species